GCACUCAGAAACACACAUGCUCAGCCC
rnacentral:piRNA from 2 species